AUGCAGAAGAAGAAGAAGGCGACAAUGGCGCGCCGUCGUCGGAGAUCACUGGCCUUCCAGGAGCACCCUGAGGCUAUGGAGCCCCUCGGCCGAGAUGCUCCGCUCGACCCUGCCCGCCCUGUUCACCCUGAUCUGGGGAGGGGCCUCCUGGUGGAACGAGACCAUGACCGCCGUCAGGUUGUCGGUGGCGCCCCGCCUGAUCGCCUCCUCCACGAUCUCCUUGCAGCACCGCCGGAGGUCGUUGUGCUCCUGGAGCCUCCGCCGCGCAAAGUCCACCGAGUUCUGGUUGGAGAAGUAGUCCCAGAUGCCGUCGCUGCCGAUGAUGAGGAACUCGUCGUCCUUGGUCAGCGUGAUCAUCUUGAGCUCCGGCUCGGCGCUCAGCGGGCCUCCCGGCUUGCCCAUCUCCUUGAGGCCGUCGAGGUGCCAGUCCCCGAGCGCUCUGGUCACCGCUAG
rnacentral:rRNA from 1 species